rnacentral:tRNA from 1 species
GGCCACGUAGCUCAGCUGAUAGAGCAUGCGCUGCACAAAAGCUUAGACGGCGUCCAUGCGUGGGUUCGAAUCCAACCGAGGCUA